UACUCACUGCCGCCGGUUCACUCCUCCUCAUCCUCGCCUGCUCGCCGCGGUGCACUCCUUCUCCUCCUCCUCGCCGCCCUUCGUCACCAUCCAUGGCCGUUACCACCAUGGCCGAGUUCCCACCCUCCAUCACCGCUACCACCGUCGCCGACACCUUAAUCAUCAUAUAUCUGUUCAAAACAUCAGGUGCCCUUCCAAAUCGUAACAAAUAACUCGAUCUUCGUCGCCUUGUGUCCCUCAAAAUGACAAAUCCACAAGAAAUAGGAGUAUGGUUUCAUGAAGUGCCUAAUCCAAUUUAUUACAAAUUGGAGUAUCACCACAAUGACACCGUGAUAGUGGAGUUUAGGAUGAACUCCAACCUCAGAAGAGCCCUCCACAUCAAAUCCUUCUACCAAAGGUAUCUCAUGACGUUGAAGAGCCACAUUAGGAUCGUUGAUCCUGACAAGACAGCCAAGAAUAUUAGAUUUAGAAUUUUAAUUUGGUUAAAGUCUUUUGGUGUAAUUUCUUUGUCUUGUUUUCAUAUUGCUAUUCAGAAGACUCUGAAUCCGUUUUGUAAAUCUAUCGAUCAAAUUUAUAACUACGUAGUUGA